rnacentral:rRNA from 1 species
UGGGGAAUUUUGGACAAUGGGCGAAAGCCUGAUCCAGCAAUGCCGCGUGUGUGAAGAAGGCCUUCGGGUUGUAAAGCACUUUUGUCCGGAAAGAAAUCCUUGGCUCUAAUACAGUCGGGGGAUGACGGUACCGGAAGAAUAAGCACCGGCUAACUACGUGCCAGCAGCCGCGGUAAUACGUAGGGUGCAAGCGUUAAUCGGAAUUACUGGGCGUAAAGCGUGCGCAGGCGGUUUGCUAAGACCGAUGUGAAAUCCCCGGGCUCAACCUGGGAACUGCAUUGGUGACUGGCAGGCUAGAGUAUGGCAGAGGGGGGUAGAAUUCCACGUGUAGCAGUGAAAUGCGUAGAGAUGUGGAGGAAUACCGAUGGCGAAGGCAGCCCCCUGGGCCAAUACUGACGCUCAUGCACGAAAGCGUGGGGAGCAAACAGGAUUAGAUACCCUGGUAGUCCACGCCCUAAACGAUGUCAACUAGUUGUUGGGGAUUCAUUUCCUUAGUAACGUAGCUAACGCGUGAAGUUGACCGCCUGGGGAGUACGGUCGCAAGAUUAAACUCAAUG